GAGGGUAUACUGCUAUUCAUGCUAUUAAGGCACUAAACACUGUUGGACCUGGUAUUCAUCCCUGAUGGAUGUCAUUAUUAGCAGGCUGCCAGCUGGACUUUGCACCACCCAUCACAAUUCUUGGAGCCCAGCAGUCCAGUCAGUUUCCCACCCACAUUAUUGUUCUCGCAUCCAGCCUAUAUCUUACCAAUUUGGUGAUACUGAGACUAUGAAGACUGUGUCAAAGACCUUGUUAAAUUCAAGGACCAUAAAAGUUUUCUAAGAGGAUUUGAUCCAUCACCUUCCCAGGGGCUGAAGUGAGGCUGGCUGUCCUGUAGUUCCUGGAUCAUUAUCGAUGAAAACUGAAGCAAAAAAGGAAUUGAGGCUUUUCCCUGUUACCUGUCUGCCCUGCUUUCAGCUGGAAUAGAGUUAAUUUUCUUCUUC